rnacentral:rRNA from 1 species
AUUGAACGCUGGCGGCAGGCCUAACACAUGCAAGUCGAACGGUAACAGGGAUCAGCUUGCUGAUUCGCUGACGAGUGGCGGACGGGUGAGUAAUGUCUGGGAAAUUGCCUGAUGGAGGGGGAUAACUACUGGAAACGGUAGCUAAUACCGCAUAACGUCGCAAGGCCAAAGAGGGGGACCUUCGGGCCUCUUGCCAUCGGAUGUGCCCAGAUGGGAUUAGCUAGUAGGUGGGUAACGGCUCACCUAGGCGACGAUCCCUAGCUGGUCUGAGAGGAUGACCAGCCACACUGGAACUGAGACACGGUCCAGACUCCUACGGGAGGCAGCAGUGGGGAAUAUUGCACAAUGGGCGCAAGCCUGAUGCAGCCAUGCCGCGUGUAUGAAGAAGGCCUUCGGGUUGUAAAGUACUUUCAGCGGGGAGGAAGGGAGUAAAGUUAAUACCUUUGCUCAUUGACGUUACCCGCAGAAGAAGCACCGGCUAACUCCGUG